AACGCGCAGAACCUUACCAGCGUUUGACAUGGUAGGACGACUGGCAGAGAUGCCUUUCUUCCCUUCGGGGACCUACACACAGGUGCUGCAUGGCUGUCGUCAGCUCGUGUCGUGAGAUGUUGGGUUAAGUCCCGCAACGAGCGCAACCCUCGACUUUAGUUACCAUCAUUAAGUUGGGUACUUUAAAGUAACCGCCGGUGAUAAGCCGGAGGAAGGUGGGGAUGACGUCAAGUCCUCAUGGCCCUUACGCGCUGGGCUACACACGUGCUACAAUGGCAAGUACAGUGGGCAGCAAUCCCGCGAGGGUGAGCUAAUCUCCAAAACUUGUCUCAGUUCGGAUUGUUCUCUGCAACUCGAGAGCAUGAAGGCGGAAUCGCUAGUAAUCGCGGAUCAGCAUGCCGCGGUGAAUACGUUCCCAGGCCUU
rnacentral:rRNA from 1 species